rfam:Xenorhabdus nematophila ATCC 19061 chromosome, complete genome
UACCAUCACCGAUGGUCACCAAUGCUUCCAUAGUCUGAGAAGAAGCGCUUUCGAGCGACUAAAAAACUCCUGUAGCCUGAAAGGGAGAGCAAGAAUUGCGGUACAUCUUCACACCUUUGAAAGCAGAUAUCGUCAGUAUGAAC